rnacentral:tRNA from 3 species
GACUAUAUGAUCUAAUGGUUAUGAUAAUACUACUUCACAGUAUUUAUAUGGGUUCGAAUCCCGUUGUGGUUA